AUCCCAGACUCCUACGGGAGGCAGCAGUGGGGGAUAUUGCACAAUGGGGGGAACCCUGAUGCAGCGACGCCGCGUGGGUGAAGAAGCGCCUCGGCGCGUAAAGCCCUGUCAGCAGGGAAGAAAAUGACGGUACCUGAAGAAGAAGCCCCGGCUAACUACGUGCCAGCAGCCGCGGUAAUACGUAGGGGGCAAGCGUUAUCCGGAUUUACUGGGUGUAAAGGGAGCGUAGACGGCAGUGCAAGUCCGGAGUGAAAGCCCGGGGCUCAACCCUGGGACUGCUCUGGAAACUGUAAAGCUGGAGUGCGGGAGGGGCAGGCGGAAUUCCUGGUGUAGCGGUGAAAUGCGUAGAUAUUAGGAGGAACACCAGUGGCGAAGGCGGCUUACUGGACUGUAACUGACGUUGAGGCUCGAAAGCGUGGGGAGCAAACAGGAUUAGAUACCCGUGUA
rnacentral:rRNA from 1 species